UGGGGAAUCUUGCACAAUGGGGGCAACCCUGAUGCAGCGACGCCGCGUGAGCGAUGAAGCCCUUCGGGGCGUAAAGCUCUUUCGACCGGAACGAUAAUGACGGUACCGGGAGAAGAAGCUGCGGCUAACUACGUGCCAGCAGCCGCGGUAAUACGUAGGCAGCAAGCGUUGUUCGGAGUUACUGGGCGUAAAGAGUGCGUAGGCGGUUUUCUAAGGUCGGUGUGAAAUCUCCCGGCUUAACUGGGAGGGUGCGCCGAAGACUGGGAAGCUGGAGUGUGGGUAAGGCAUGCGGAAUUCCUGGUGUAGCGGUGAAAUGCGUAGAUAUCAGGAGGAACGCCGGCGGUGGAGACGGCUUGCUAGACCAUAACUGACGCUGAGGCACGAAAGCGUGGGUAGCAAACA
rnacentral:rRNA from 1 species